rnacentral:lncRNA from 1 species
AUCAUGUAGUCCACCUGCUUGGCAAUCUCAUCAUCGGUCAGUGGGGGCAAGUACGAGAAGGUCUCGAACUUGGGCUGUCCAAUCGGGUUCCACACCUGUCCAAAGUUUCACCGGUUCUCAGCCAACAUCCCAAUAUUACCACAUCACCUCGGCGUUCAUUCAACUUAUAUUACCGACACCAUACGACACAAGAAACGUAGUCACAAGAUAACCAGACAGUAACACGACGAAUAGUAGCUCAGCUCCCUGAGAACUCAGUAUACCUGCAUGCAUUGCACACGGCUGCCAUUCUGCACGGAGCUCAAGGUCUGAGCCUGGGAAGAGAACAAGGUAGCCGACUUCAGACCAGAGAAGGCCUUGACGGAGGUAGAGUCGCGGGAGACGGCAGCAGGCGAGGCUGCGGCCAGAGAGACGGGGGCCACUACAGACGAAGCAACCGCGGACGCCAUUCCUACGGACUUGUCGUGCUCUAGAACAGUGAAAAGCGCGAGGACUGAAGCGAC